rnacentral:rRNA from 1 species
CCCUUAGAUGUUCUGGGCCGCACGCGCGCUACACUGACAGAGCCAGCGAGUUUUUUUCCUUGGCCGGAAGGUCUGGGUAAUCUUGUGAAACUCUGUCGUGCUGGGGAUAGAGCAUUGCAAUUAUUGCUCUUCAACGAGGAAUACCUAGUAAGCGUGAGUCAUCAGCUCGCGUUGAUUACGUCCCUGCCCUUUGUACACACCGCCCGUCGCUACUACCGAUUGAAUGGCUUAGUGAGGUCUUGGGAUUGGCUUCGGGGAGCCGGCAACGGCACCCUGUUGCUGAGAACUUGAUCAAACUUGNUNAUUUAGNGGAAGUAAAANUCGUANCA